rnacentral:rRNA from 1 species
CUACGGGGUGCACCAGUAGGGAAUAUUGGGCAAUGGAGGCAACUCUGACCCAGCAACGCCGCGUGAAGGAUGAAGGUCUUCGGAUUGUAAACUUCUAAGCAUGGGGAAAAACAAAAUGAUGGUACCCAUAGAUAAGUCACGGCAAACUAUGUGCCAGCAGCCGCGGUAAUACAUAGGUGGCGAGCGUUAUCCGGAAUAACUGGGCGUAAAGGGAGUGUAGGUGGCAACCUAAGUUAUAUGUUAAAGCCAGUGGCUUAACCACUGUAAGCAUAUAAAACUGGGUAGCUAGAGUAUGAUAGAGGUAAGUGGAAUUCCUAGUGUAGCGGUAAAAUGCGUAGAGAUUAGGAAGAACACCAGAGGCGAAGGCGACUUACUGGAUCAAAACUGACACUGAGGCUCGAAAGCGUGGGGAGCAAACAGGAUUAGAUACCCCGGUAGUC